AAACUAUAGCCAAUGCUCUGUUCCUACAGGAAAAGGAGAGCAGAGGAACAUGAGGGACAGGAAGUCCUCAACUUAACAACCAUUCAUUUAGUGACCGUUCGAAGUUAAAAUGGCACUGAAAAAAUUCACAACAAUUGGUACUAUGUCUACCAAAGUCCAUGGUGGCUGGGAAUUCUACAGCGUGAAGACUAGUACAUCAGGAAAAACACAGUUGGGAGAAGGCUGCCAGAAUUCAUUGAACUGAGAGUGUGGAAAACAUUACUUACUGGCUUUCGAGUAGGUGUGACUUGAACGGAGUGGUAGAAUUCCGGCUGGACCCUGCUACUCUUCUUGAUUUUUCUUUUCUUAACUGAUGUUUCUUGUUCACUCACUUGACGUGCUUCUACCAGGGGCUGUAUUUCUUCAAGGCGAGGAACUACACGCCUUCUAACAUGGCGUGGACUUGCUCUAAAACCCUGUUAAAAAGAUUACCAUUAAAUCAUAUUAGGUCUA